rnacentral:rRNA from 1 species
AUACGUAGGGGGCGAGCGUUGUCCGGAAUGAUUGGGCGUAAAGGGCGCGUAGGCGGCCCGGUAAGUCUGGAGUGAAAGUCCUGUUUUUAAGAUGGGAAUUGCUUUGGAUACUGUCGGGCUUGAGUGCAGGAGAGGUAAGUGGAAUUCCCAGUGUAGCGGUGAAAUGCGUAGAGAUUGGGAGGAACACCAGUGGCGAAGGCGACUUACUGGCAUGAAACUGACGCUGAGUCGCGAAAGAGUGGGGAGCAAACAGGAUUAGAUACCCUGGUAGUCCGCACUGUAAACGAUUAAUUCUAGGUGUAGGGGGUAUCGACCCCUUCUGUGCCGCAGUCAACACAAUAAGCAUUCCGGCUGGGGAGUACGGCCGCAAGGUGGAAACUCAAAUGAUUUGACGGGG